rnacentral:rRNA from 1 species
CCCGCACAAGCGGUGGAGCAUGUGGUUUAAUUCGAUGCAACGCGAAGAACCUUACCUGGUCUUGACAUCCACAGAACUUUCCAGAGAUGGAUUGGUGCCUUCGGGAACUGUGAGACAGGUGCUGCAUGGCUGUCGUCAGCUCGUGUUGUGAAAUGUUGGGUUAAGUCCCGCAACGAGCGCAACCCUUAUCCUUUGUUGCCAGCGAUUAGGUCGGGAACUCAAAGGAGACUGCCAGUGAUAAACUGGAGGAAGGUGGGGAUGACGUCAAGUCAUCAUGGCCCUUACGACCAGGGCUACACACGUGCUACAAUGGCGCAUACAAAGAGAAGCGACCUCGCGAGAGCAAGCGGACCUCAUAAAGUGCGUCGUAGUCCGGAUUGGAGUCUGCAACUCGACUCCAUGAAGUCGGAAUCGCUAGUAAUCGUGGAUCAGAAUGCCACGGUGAAUACGUUCCCGGGCCUUGUACACACCGCCCGUCACACCAUGGGAGUGGGUUGCAAAAGAAGUAGGUAGCUUAACCUUCGGGAGGGCGCUUACCACUUUGUGAUUCAUGACUGGGGUGAAGUCGUAACAAGGUAACCGUAGGGGAACCUGCGGUUGGAUCACCUCCUUACCUUAAAGAA